ensembl:lncRNA
AUUUACAGAAAAGUUGUAAAGAGAGAGCAAAUACCUUGUAUUGAAGUGGAAAAAACAAAAGACAAAGCAGAGACCCACAGUUUCAAAGCUUGGCAGAGACUGACAGUCUCACGGCUGACAGGCUAAGGCCUGCCCCUCCUGCUAAAUUCACAAAGGUCACUGUGCCCAGAAGAUGAACUACUGAAACACAGCUGCCUGCCUCCCGAUGUCUUACAGAUAAACUGUAAAAGCAACAUUACCGCCGCCUCCCUACCCUUUGUUAAGUUCUGCUUCUGUAAAAUUCUGCUUGUUCCCCUGCCCUGCCUAAAGAGCAAGAUAAAAAUGAAAACAAACUUAGAAACGGGGCUCAGACUCUGGGAGGUGACUUCUGGUGGCCCCACUGGGGAAUCUGCCUGGCUUUCUUUCCCUUCAGUUCUCUGGGUGCUGCUCUCUUCCUUGGUCUGCCUGCUUCCGAGUGCCAUCUCAGUAUAACCACGGUGGUGAUGUAAAACAAAAACAAAAACAAAGGCCCAAAGCAAACAAAUCCAGGGCUGGCUAACAAAUGGGUUUG